GUUUUAAAUAAUUUUGUUCCUACAAUAUAUUUUGUUGGAAUUAGUGUCGAUAGCAAGUAUCAAGAAACGGCUUUUUAAUUCAACGUUGAAGAAAUUCAUAACCUGUGGCACUUUUGACAGCCGCCAUGUUUUCUACAUAAAAACAUUGAUUUUCUUUGCUCAUUUUCGUAUCAACGUAGUUUUUUUGGAAAAUAAGAAGAAAGGAAGUUUAACUAACUUAGAGAAAUACGACUGAGACAUAAUCAUGAACGAGAUGAACACAAGCAGCAGCCGAUGUGCUUGAGUUGCAGAUGGAGCAAGUGCGUUAUGAGAGGGCCACGGCUUCAGCCCUCACAAUGAAUAGCUGAAGCAAUGAACAGACAGGCUGCAGUCAAUGAGAGGCUUCUUGAGCAGGGGCUCCUCAUAUGGAAAAAGGCUAAUGAAAGGAACAAUCAAGACUGGCGGUGCGUGGGAGGACCAAUCGAUGCGCCUUCAAUGGCCUCACGCCUCUCUUCUUCCUCUUCUUCAUGCGUCAAUUCAAACAGAGGAGCACCUGUGAUUACUGAUUACCUAAGUUCCUAUAUACAAUAAUAGUUUAAUAAUUGUUAACAAAAUAUUGUAUUAUAUAAGUAUUAAUAACUAUACACAAGGCUAAAAGCAUUUUGUAACAGUCAACCUAUAAGAGAGAAUAUGAGAAAAAAUAAGACAAUUUAAUCUUUGAUUGCCAUUAUCUGUAGCUUUAUUAAGUGGUAAAGGGACCUAAUAUAUGUAUUUGUGAUAAUUCAUAGAAUUUAUUAGUUCUAUCAAUAAAUAAAAUAGACAUGCA